CCCUGCCAUUCCUCAGACCCGGGCUCUGGGUGGGGAGAGGCGGGCAGGCAGGGCGGCGUCCUCCGGCCUUUCACCUCUCAAGCAGUGUGAGGCCAGUUCACGGGACACUCACUGCGCUCUACUAGACACCUAACACUAUCGGUGCGCGGGAGCCCAGCAUGCCACGCUCAACGCAGAGGGGCAGCCACUCAGAGGCGCUAGGGAGCUAGGGCGCGGCAGCCGGGCGACGCUAGCGCCACCCCGCGGCGAGGCGCGCCGAGGCCGGCGGGGACCAUGGCAACGCACGAGGCUCGCGGGGCCGCGCGUGCUGACGCUACGCGGCGCGCCGGAUUGUGACGCAGGCCGCGGCGCGGGCACCACGUUCUCGGGUGACCGCGGGCGCAGCCUCGGGGGCCUCGCAACGGCAGCAACGGCCGAGGCAGGCGGGGUCAAGAUGGUGGCUCCGCUGGCGGGGGAGGCGCUGGAGGGAGGAGGAGCCAGACCCUAGCCGGCCGGAAACACCGACGCCCCGAGGCCUCCCGGGACCGCUGCCGCCGCCCCCUGCUCCACCGAGGGACGCGAGCGGGCGGCGGGGCGGGCCGGGACACAGGACAGGAGGCGGGCGGGGGCGGAGCCACUCUCCUCCGCGCCCGCCCCGGCCGCGGCCCCGGGCCUCCCCCGCGCCGCCCUGCCCGGCCCGCCCAGCCCCGGUGUGGCAGCGGCUCAUGGCGGCGGUGGGGCCCCCGCAGCAGCAGGUGCGGAUGGCCCAGCAGCAGGUCUGGGCGGCGCUCGAAGUGGCGCUCCGGGUGCCCUGCCUCUACAUCAUCGACGCCAUCUUCAACUCCUACUACGAUUCCAGCCAAAGCCGGUUCUGCAUCGGGCUUCAGAUCUUUCUCCGGCUCCUCGGUAUAGUUGUAUCCAGUAUUGUCCUGAUCUUGUCACAGCGAUCACUUUUCAAGUUUUACAUGUACAGCUCAGCCUUUCUGUUAGCUGCGACUUCAGUGUUGGUGAAUUACUAUGCUGCUUUGCACAUUGACUUCUAUGGUGCCUACAACACGUCAGCGUUUGGAAUUGAGUUGCUUCCUCGGAAGGGGCCCUCACUGUGGAUGGCACUCAUCGUACUGCAGCUAACCUUUGGAAUUGGAUAUGUCACACUGCUCCAGAUUCAGUCCAUCUAUUCACAGUUAAUGAUUUUGAAUAUCUUGGUUCCUAUAAUGGGCUUAAUCACAGAGUUACCAUUACACAUCAGAGAGACAUUAGUUCUCAUGUCUUCCUUGAUUCUCAUAUUUAACACAGUGCUUGUCUUGGCAGUGAAACUUAAGUGGUUUUACUAUUCUACUCGGUAUGUUUACUUGUUAGUGAGGCAUAUGUACCGAAUUUACGGAUUACAGUUAUUGAUGGAGGACACAUGGAAGAGGAUUCGUUUCCCAGACAUUCUUCGGGUCUUCUGGCUAACAAGAAUUACAGCCCAGGCUACAGUGUUGAUGUACAUUUUAAGGAUGGCAAAUGAAACUGAGUCCUUCUUUAUUUCUUGGGAUGAUUUCUGGGACGUCAUUUGCAAUCUGAUAAUCAGUGGCUGUGAUUCUACACUAACUGUACUAGGCAUGAGUGCUGUAAUCUCUUCAAUAGCCCAUUAUUUGGGCCUUGGAAUAUUGGCCUUUAUUGGAUCAACUGAAGAAGAUGACAGGCGGCUUGGCUUUGUAGCACCUGUUUUAUUUUUCAUUUUGGCUCUUCAGACUGGUUUAAGUGGGCUGAGACCUGAAGAGAGACUUAUUCGCUUAAGUAGAAACAUGUGCCUUUUAUUAACUGCAGUCCUGCAUUUCAUCCAUGGAAUGACAGACCCUGUAUUAAUGUCUCUCAGUGCCUCCCAUGUGUCAUCUUUCCAUAGACAUUUCCCUGUGCUGUUUGUCUCUGCUUGCCUGUUUAUCCUUCCCGUCUUACUCAGUUAUGUUCUCUGGCAUCACUAUGCACUAAAUACAUGGCUGUUCGCAGUUACAGCCUUCUGUGUGGAACUCUGCUUGAAAGUAAUAGUUUCCCUCACUGUCUACACGCUGUUCAUGAUUGACGGCUACUAUAAUGUCCUCUGGGAAAAGCUGGAUGAUUACGUCUACUUUGUGCGCUCGACAGGCAAUAUUAUUGAAUUUAUAUUUGGAGUAGUAAUGUUUGGGAAUGGGGCCUAUACCAUGAUGUUUGAGUCAGGAAGUAAAAUCCGGGCUUGUAUGAUGUGCCUACAUGCAUAUUUCAACAUCUACUUACAAGUAAAAAAUGGCUGGAAGACAUUCAUGAAUCGUAGAACUGCUGUUAAGAAAAUUAAUUCACUUCCUGAAAUAAAAGGGAGCCACUUGAGAGAAAUAGAUGAUGUAUGUGCAAUCUGCUAUCAUGAGUUCACAACAUCUGCUCGUAUCACACCGUGUAACCAUUAUUUCCAUGCACUCUGCCUUCGGAAAUGGCUGUACAUUCAAGAUACUUGUCCAAUGUGCCAUCAGAAAGUGUACAUCGAAGACGAUAUCAAGGAUAACUCAAAUGUAUCUAACAACAAUGGAUUUAUCGCACCCAAUGAAAAUCCAAACCCAGAGGAAGCUUUAAGAGAAGAAGCUGCUGGAUCUGACCGAGAACUGAAUGAGGAUGACAGUACAGACUGCGAUGAUGAUGUUCAAAGAGAAAGAAACGGGGGGAUUCGGCACACAGGCGCAGCAGCAGCAGCAGCAUUUAAUGAUGACACUGAUUAAAGUAGCAUUUACUAAUCAUUGAGCCACUGUAACAGACUACUCCGGCUUCUACGGCCUCGCUGUCCUGUAAGAAUAGACUAACAUAUUUACACUCUCACUGUCCAUGGAGACACUAGUCCUUGAAUGCAGCAGCCUUGGCCCCAGGCCUUGCUCUGGGAUAACGAGAUGGCAUGGCCACAGCAGUGAACCUUUGGUGGUUAGAACAGGAUGCUGUCUAGCCUUGGCAGCAGCACUGACGGUUACCUAGCAGCGCUGACGGUUACCCAAGCACUGACGGUUACCCAGCAUCACUGACGGUUACCUAGCAUCACUGACGGUUACCCAGCAGCGCUGACGGUUACCCAGCAGCACUGAUGGUUACCCAGCAUCAUUGACGGUUACCCAGCAUCACUGACGGUUACCUAGCAUCACUGACGGUUACCUAGCAUCACUGACGGUUACCCAGCAGCGCUGACAGUUACCCAGCAGCACUGACGGUUACCCAGCAUUGCUGACGGUUACCUAGCAGCACUGACGGUUACCCAAGCACUGACGGUUACCCAGCAUCACUGACGGUUACCUAGCAUCACUGACGGUUACCUAGCAUCACUGACGGUUACCUAGCAUCACUGAUGGUUACCUAGCAGCGCUGACGGUUACCUAGCAGCGCUGACGGUUACCCAGCAGCACUGACGGUUACCCAAGCACUGACGGUUACCCAGCAUCACUGACGGUUACCCAGCAUCACUGACGGUUACCCAGCAUCACUGACGGUUACCUAGCAUCACUGACGGUUACCUAGCAUCACUGAUGGUUACCCAGCAGCGCUGACGGUUACCCAGCAUUGCUGACGGUUACCCAGCAUUGCUGACGGUUACCUAGCAUCACUGACGGUUACCUAGCAGCACUGAUUGUUACCUUUUCAGCUAGAUGCCCAGAGCUAGCUUACAAGACACAAAUGGGAAUGUAAAUGCUUUAGAUUGCCACCAAGUUUUAGAAUCAGUAUUCAAAGUAAUGACAAGUACCGUCCUUAUAUUUAAAAAAUUUAAUAACAAAUUCACUGUAAAGACACUUUAGGACAAUUUUAGGUCCACUGAACAAAGCAGAAAUCACACACCCUCCUCCACCCCUAUGUACAGCUCAGCCUCCACACUAAAGCCCAGCACAGCGCUUACUUGGGUUAGAAUCGAUAAACCCACCCUGACACAUCACCACCUCCGAAGCCCAUGCUGUCUGUCAUGGUGGUCACCCAGCUCACGCUCUGUGGGAUGGUGUAUCUCUUACAAAGUAGUUUUGCUGCCUCCCAAUCCCAUGUGCUGUGUGUAUUCAUCUCUACUUUCUUGAUCCUGCAACACUGACCUUUUUACUGUUCCUUGGUAAUCACUGCACCAAGAACAUUUUUCAGUGAAACUAGUAGAUGCCCGUUACCCCAACCCAUCAUAAUAAAGCAAAACAUGAGGGGAGAAAUGAUUAAUAACUUUUAAGUGCUAAGUGACAUAGUAUCCCAGAAGUAGUGCCUAGAUUGCAGAGCUAGGACAGGGAGUGGGAAUUGGAAUGGUUUAGACAGAGAAAUGAUGGGGUACACAGAUAACUGUGACUCAGGGAUGGGUGAAGAAAACACAAGGUAGGGAAUGGGGACACCCAGCACGGCAGGGAUGUGGGACUAAAGAUGCAGACUGACCUGAAAGUCUCCUCUUAGCUUGCUCUGCUCCAGAACACUUCUGUGUACAUUUACAAACCCCUACCCUACUUUCCUAGCAAAGAUCACAGGGCACCCACCCUUCUAGAAAAAGAUCGACCCCCAAAAAGGGGUCUACAAAAGCUUGUGCGAGAGCCCACUCUGGAAAAGUCCAGCUGUGACCUAACCUGCCAGCUGACUGACUCACCUAGAACUUCCAAAAAGUUAUUUGCGACAACAUUUUAUAUAGCCUAGGCUGUCUUCAAACUUGCCUUGUAAGUGAGGCUAGUCUUUUAAAUUCUUGCUUCAGCUUCAGGGUAAAAUAAGCCACACUGCCAUCCUCACCCACACAGUUCACAGCCAGCCUGAUCUACACACAACAAAACCCAGACCAGAAUGCACGAGAACUCGAGAAAUAAACUAUGGGGUUCUAUCAUAGAAGAGAAGGGCCUGGAACUAACACACUAUCUAAACAGGCUUCCUCAUGGGGAAAACCACCUAAGGUAUUUGCAUAGAGCUGUAGGAAGAAAUAGUGACUCACUGUGGAGCCCAGACCAAACUCUAAUCCGUGAUCCUCCUGCUUCAGCCUCCCCCGGGUUGAGCUACUGUGCUUGACUGUGCUUCAAGUUUUGAAGUCAAGGAAAUAUGUAAGACCAGUUACUUCAAGAAAUCAAAAAGUGGUGCAUGAGAAGGGAGCAUGGUUCACCACAUGGGCAGCAGAGAUUACAGAAACAAUGACAACCACACAAAACGCAUAGUCCUGACAUCACAAUGGAAGGAAGACGGGACAAUGAAGUAGAUUCAGUAUGGUGUGUGUCUUAAGGACACAGACAAAGGGAGGCGUCAGAGCUAGGAACACAUAAAUGUUACACAGAUGUAUAGCAGCAGAUACCCAAGCACUUGUCUCUGCAAAAAUUGCCUGGGACGGAGGCAUGCUGGAGGAGGAAGGAAUAACUGCUUCUCUCAGUAUGGGUAUAUUGUUUGGCAAUCAAUUUAUAAGCUGAACUGUUACUUAGAAUAAUGUUGGAAGGGCUGAAGAGAUGGCUCAGCGGUUAGGAGAUUGACUGCUCUUCCAGAGGUCCUGAGUUCAAAUCCCAGCAACCACAUGGUGGCUCACAACCAUCUGUAAUGGGAUCUGACCCUCUUCUGGUGUGUCUGAAGACAGCUAUAAUUGUAUUCAUAUACAUAAAAUAAAUCUUUGUAAAAAAAAAUAAUCCUGGGAUAUAUCUAUAGGAAUAGGCAAUGCCAACAUUCUGUUUCCCUGAGAAUUAUAUAUGGUCACCAGUGGUCACUGUAAGGGCAGCCCUGAAGAGGGAAAGCAAGCCAGACUCUCUUCUGUAACUUGCCAUCACUGACUUCCUAAGAAACAAGUACAGCAAACGCAAACGCUGACAGAAGACAAGGCCAGGAGCUUGCUGUGCUGGCCGACGUGUGAGGAGGUCUGAGGGUUAGUGUGCAGCUGCAGAGCGAAGGUCACUGAGCAGUGAGCCAGAGGACAGGCUCUCACACCCAGGGUAACUUUACACCUGUUCCCUAGCGUCUGUGGCCUAAGAAAUACACAGAUGAUUGCCACAGAUACUCUCUGUCCAGGGCCAGCAUGUGUGCAGCAUCACACACAGUGCUGUGAACAUGCAUCUGUGAGGAGCAUGAGAUAACCUGAGGACAGUCUGGAUUACUAAAGACCUGCUGACCUCAACACAAGUUGUUUCCAUUAUUAGAACACAGCAUAAUAAUGUGUAACAACUAAAAACAAUCUACUAUUCAAUUUCUUCAUAAGUAGUUACUAAAAUUCCCAAAGAUCAAUGCAAAACAUACAAACUGUAAUAAAAAUAAACUCUUUAAAAGACAACUUGAAGAAUCUGAUAAUAUAAAAAUUAAGGAAAGCCAAAACUGAGAACGUACCAACCAUUAAAUCCUAUAUAAAGGUCCAAGUCAAUCAAAGCAGCUGCUGCUUCCUUCGUACCGUCGAAUGAAUGCACCUGGGGAUAUAGACACACAAUUUUAUUAUAAUAUUAAAAUCCACAAUAGCAUUGGUCUACUUUCUAAGCAAAGUAUAUAUAAUAUAUACUUUAUAUACAUAUAUAUGUGUUCUUUCAAACCAGACUUGAUAAUCACAAUCUGUCAUUAUUUCUGGUGACACAAAGCAAGAAGUCAUCUGUCUAAGGUUUCUCUGCAGCUAGGUGUGUCUCUACAUCACCCUCUGCAUCUCUCUCAGAAGGGCACAGGAAAGGGACCAUAUUCUUACACAGGAGGAAGAAAGGUCUGGGACACAUUUAAGAUAUUCUGAAAAUCUUACUGUGUCUCUCUUUUAGAGGAUACUUUUCUUUUGGAAAUGAUUAAUCAUUAAGAGGUAAGUUUUCAGAAGCUCUAUACAGUAGUGAGAACACUGCUUUUAAGCUGCCACUGUGGCCUGAAGGGUGACUCAGCAGUUAAGAGUGCUUGCUGCUUUUGCAGAGUUCAGUUCCAGCACCCACACUGAACACCUCAGAAUCACCUCUAACUCCAGCUCCGGGGGAUCUGAUGCCCGCUUCUGGCCUUAGGAGAGCAGCAAAGGACAGCUCGCAGGCUGAGCGCACAGUGGGAGGAGACAACUCACAUCUGUGUCUCAAAGUCCUGGGAAGAUGAUCGUCUUCAGGAUUUGAACAUUGGGAGUCAAUGUAGCCUGAAGAGAAGCAUGCAUUUUAUGAAGACUGCUAUCAAAACAGCUUUGACUUCCACCUGUGAUCAUGAACUGAAAUGACAAGAAGUGAAAGAAGCUGACUUCCAGGGACCAACACCUUCCCCCCAGUUCACCGCAAGGCGCUUCACCCCACUCCCGCUCCUUUAUGUUCACGAGGAAGACCAACUCCACAAAGUGCUCCCUGACUUCUGGUCUACACACCCCCUCCACAGGAUUCCUGUGUUAAACAGUAACAUGCAUUUACAUGUUCCUCUCUAUUAGUGACAAACUCUAUAUCUCUUGAAGAUGUACUUUAUAUGUUAUAAAACACAAAUAGUUAAGGACCUGCCUAGUCAAAAUUCUGUUCACUGAAAUAAAUGACUUUGAAAAUCAGUAA